rnacentral:rRNA from 1 species
UACGUAGGGGGCAAGCGUUGUCCGGAAUCAUUGGGCGUAAAGCGCGUGUAGGCGGCUCGAUAAGUCUGCUGUGAAAGUUCAGGACUCAACCCUGAAAUGCCGGUGGAAACUGUCGAGCUAGAGUCCGGAAGAGGCGAGUGGAAUUCCUGGUGUAGCGGUGAAAUGCGCAGAUAUCAGGAGGAACACCAAUGGCGAAGGCAGCUCGCUGGGACGGUACUGACGCUGAGACGCGAAAGCGUGGGGAGCAAACAGG